rnacentral:rRNA from 1 species
AAGGGUAGCAAUACCUGAGUAAAGUGGCGCACGGGUGAGUAACACGUGACUAACCUACCCUGGAGUGAGGGAUAACUGAGGGAAACCUUAGCUAAUACCGCAUAAUACCUACGGGUCAAAGGAGCAAUUCGCUUUGGGAGGGGGUCGCGGCCGAUUAGUUAGUUGGCGGGGUAAUGGCCCACCAAGACUGUGAUCGGUAUCCGGCCUGAGAGGGCGCACGGACACACUGGAACUGAAACACGGUCCAGACUCCUACGGGAGGCAGCAGUGGGGAAUUUUGCGCAAUGGGGGAAACCCUGACGCAGCAACGCCGCGUGGAGGAUGAAGUACUUCGGU